UACGUAGGGUGCGAGCGUUGUCCGGAAUUACUGGGCGUAAAGGGCUCGUAGGCGGCCAACUAAGUCGGAUGUGAAAUCCCCAGGCUCAACCUGGGAACUGCAUCCGAUACUGGAUGGCUUGAAUUCGGGAGAGGGAUGCAGAAUUCCAGGUGUAGCGGUGAAAUGCGCAGAUAUCGGGAGGAACACCGGUGGCGAAGGCGGUUCUCUGGGCCUUACCUGACGCUGAGGAGCGAAAGCGUGGGGAGCGAACAGG
rnacentral:rRNA from 1 species